rnacentral:rRNA from 1 species
GACGAGGGAUCCUAGCGUUGUUCGGAAUCAUUGGGCGUAAAGCGUAUGUAGGCGGCCUUGUAAGUCAGGUGUGAAAGCCCCGGGCUCAACCCGGGAAGUGCAUCUGAUACUGCAUGGCUUGAGUACUGGAGAGGAUAGUGGAAUUCCAGGUGUAGUGGUGAAAUACGUAGAUAUCUGGAGGAACACUGGUGGCGAAGGCGGCUAUCUGGCCAUGUACUGACGCUGAGAUACGAAAGCGUGGGGAG